UACGAAGGGGGCUAGCGUUGUUCGGAAUUACUGGGCGUAAAGCGCGCGCAGGCGGUCUUCCAAGUCAGUGGUGAAAGCCCGGAGCUCAACUCCGGAACUGCCAUUGAAACUGUUAGACUUGAGGACGAGAGAGGUGAGUGGAAUUCCCAGUGUAGAGGUGAAAUUCGUAGAUAUUGGGAAGAACACCGGUGGCGAAGGCGGCUCACUGGCUCGUAUCUGACGCUCAGGCGCGACAGCGUGGGGGAUCAAACAGG
rnacentral:rRNA from 1 species